CCUCACACCCCCUUCUGCCCAUCCUCGGGAAGAUCCGGUCCUUUCUGCAGCACUUCAGAAAGCUCCUGCUGCGCCCUUCCCUGCGCAAGCCCUUCCCCAGACCCCCAUAGGGGAGGCUCCUUCCCACGGUCCCCCAAAAGCGCGGGCCCAGCCCCGUCCUCCCUCGUUCAACUUGUCUUUUGAGGACCGCGGGCCGCCGCCUCCAGCCCUGCCCUCCGCCAGCGGGCAGCGGAGCCGGGGAGCGCGACCCCGACUCGAAGCGCAGCCGCCCCAACCCCUUCCCCAGGGCCUCGGUGGAAGUCGAGAGCGUUUCCUGGCGCCCGAGCCAUGGUGGCCAAACAGCGGAUCCGGAUGGCCAACGAGAAGCACAGCAAAAACAUCACCCAGAGGGGGAACGUAGCCAAAACCCUGAGGCCGCAAGAAGAGAAAUAUCCUGUGGGCCCAUGGCUGUUGGCACUAUUCGUUUUUGUUGUCUGCGGCUCAGAAAAGGUGCACGGUCCAGAGUUCCAUUUGGACAGACUGUCUGGGUUUGCUCCCAGGUUGACCACAUAAACACUGGCCUUCCCUGGAGACUGCCUGAACUAUCUUGAAAUUGUAAUACCCAGAGGGUGUCGCAGCCCCAAGACUGGAAAGUGGGAUGUUUGAGGACUGAGCCACCCCGGAGAACCCCUUCUGUUUCACCACAAAGGAAAGCUUGAGGACGUGCGUCUGCUCUGGAACUCCUGCCUCAGGAUCUGAGAUGAACAGUCUGGAAAAAGAUGUCUCAUCACCCAUUGGCUCCCUCAAGCUAUCUUCCAGAUCAUUCAGAGCAUCCGAAUGGGCAUGUGAGCCAGCCCUGGGGGUUUGACACCGCCCCCUCCCGCUGGAGGGUGGACCACUUCAGCUCUUAGCCGGGUAUCUGUGGGAAGCCAACAAGUCACCCAGAAGAGGAAAAAACAAACAAACAAUCAAAGGCUCCCUCAGCUGUUCCCUGAUCACUUCAUCGUGGACGUCAGACCAAAUUGCUUUCUCACAGGACAUCUCGGUAUAUCCGUGUUCUUGAGCGGAAAGGACAUUUUGCUUUGCAGUUGGCAGGAUGGGGAGCUUUGUGGUGUCUGCAGCAGUGCCGUCUGUCUGGAUUCGCCCUGGGUUUCACUAAUGUCUGCAUGUGGGCCCCCCAUGAUCACUGCUUUACUUUCUAUGGAGACAGUCUCUGCUCCAUUGGGAAUUGCUUUUACAAAUAAAUGUCUUUGUUCAACCUUA